CCUACGGGAGGCAGCAGUGGGGAAUAUUGGACAAUGGGCGAAAGCCUGAUCCAGCAAUUCCGCGUGUGUGAAGAAGGCCUUCGGGUUGUAAAGCACUUUAGUGGGGGAAGAAACAGCUUGGCCACACCAAGCCUUGACGGUACCCCAAGAAUAAGCACCGGCUAACUCUGUGCCAGCAGCCGCGGUAAUACAGAGGGUGCAAGCGUUAAUCGGAUUUACUGGGCGUAAAGGGUGCGUAGGUGGCUAUUUAAGUCGGAUGUGAAAGCCCGGGGCUCAACCUCGGAAUUGCAUUCGAUACUGAGUGGCUAGAGUUCGGUAGAGGGCGGCGGAAUUUCCGGUGUAGCGGCGAAAUGCGUAGAUAUCGGAAGGAACAUCAAUGGCGAAGGCAGCCGCCUGGGCCUGGACUGACACUGAGGCACGAAAGCGUGGGUAGCAAACAGGAUUAGAUACCCUGGUAGUCCACGCCGUAAACGAUGAGAACUUGACGUUGGUUCGUUUUACGAAUCGGUGUCGCAGCUAACGCGAUAAGUUCUCCGCCUGGGGAGUACGGCCGCAAGGUUGAAACUCAAAUGAAUUGACGG
rnacentral:rRNA from 1 species